GUACCUAUGAUGACAUACUAAUUUCCCAAAAAGGUUUGAUGACAUAGAAAUCAUGCUGAAUAGGAUUACACUAAAGGUC
rfam:Mesocricetus auratus contig197549, whole genome shotgun sequence.